ensembl:lncRNA
GGUGGAUCCCGAGCCAUGGACCCUGGCAUUCUCCCCACAGGACAUCUUCAAGAAGAGGUUCCAGGCAGCAUCUUGAAGAAGAGUGUUCCAGGCAGCAGGAAUAGCAGGUGCACAGGCUAAGAGGUGGGAGCCCGCCUGGUCUGCAGGAAGAUAGCAGGGAGCUGGAGCACCAGCCGUGGAGAGAACGGCAUGUUAAUAGAAAGUGGUCCAAGGACAGCGCUUUGCCUGGUAGACUGUGCCUUUGGGCUCUGUCCAGCCCUUCCCAAAGCCCAGGAUUCACGCCCCAGAGGUAAUCGGCCAAUGUGGAGCUGGAGGCCUUCACCCCCUUCUGAGAGAAAGCUGCCUAGGGUUAAGUAGGAUGAACUUGAGGACAAUUCUGGGAACAGGAGGCUCGUUAGCCUCUGAAAUAAACCUGACUUCUGAGUCUCUCUCAACUCUGCCUCCGGAAUCAGAGCUGGAAUCAUUUACAUACUCCAGUCAAGCGGAAGUGCCGGAAUCACGGCCCCUCCUUAGCCCCACUCUGAAACGUCGUCUGUUUGCAUAGCCCGAAUCCUUUGUACAGCUCUACCCUGUCUGAACCCUCAUGACUUUUCUGAAGAGGACCUUGUGCUUCUUCUGUGUGCCAGGAAUUUUAAAAGGGCAUUUAGCCCAAAGCAAGAAAGUUCUGGCCUUAUCUUUAUAAAAUUAUUUUUUAAAGGGAGGGCAGUAUUUAAUGAUGCACAGAGGGACUAUCCAUGCCCACAGCUGGUCCCUCAUCACUCAGCAUAUGCCAGGGUAAUUGCUCUUUCCUGGUGGUGGAGGUGACCCCAGGGGACCCUAGCUAAUUUGAAUAUCAAGUCUGAUAAGAAUGUAAUUAGGAAAGGACUGCAGAAAAUCUGGUGAUGCAUUUCUGAAGUCAGACAAACCAUGAUUUGCCCAAUUUCUGCUGUGUAUUCAACGCUCUUUUGGGUUCUUGCAUAGGGAACAAACACCUCAAAGGCGUAGAGUCAUAGACUCUUGGAUGGAAACUUGCCAUGUUUCAUCCGGUUCAAGCCCCACGCCCGUGAGGCUGACAUCUGCCCUCACACACAUACCUGUGCAGAGAUGGUCCCCUGAGCCGUCCUGGCCCAUUAGUGACUUCCGUCCUCCUGAUUACAGUGAUUUCUACCAAGUGGUCAAAUUGUCAGAGGUGUGUGAAAUAGAGCAACUCCAUCUUGACUAAGAGCUGAGUAAAAUGAGACUGAGACCUACUGGGCUGCAUUCCCAGAUAGUUAGGCAUUCUUAGUCACAGGAUGAGACAGGAGGUCGGCACAAGAUACGGGUCGUAAAGACCUUGCUGAUAAAACAGGUUGCAAUAAAGAAGCUGGUCCAAACCCACCAAAACCAAGAUGGCGACGAGAGUGACCUCUGGUCGUCCUCACUGCUACACUCCCAUCAGCGUCAUGACAGUUUACAGAUGCCAUGGCAAUGCAGAAAGUUACCCUAUAUGGUCUAAAAGGGGGAGGUGUGAAUAAUCCACCCCUUGUUUAGCAUAUACUCAAGAAAUAACCAUAAAAAUGGGCAACCGGCAGCUCUCAGGGCUGUUCUGUCUAUGCAGCAGUCCUUCUUUCAUUCCUCUGCUUUCUUAAUAAACUUGCUUUCACUUUA